AAUGUAGGUGGUUUGUUAAGUCGGAUGUGAAAUCCCGGGGCUCAACCUCGGAACUGCAUCCGAUACUGGCAGACUUGAGUUCGGGAGGGGAAGGCGGAAUUCCGUGUGUAGCAGUGAAAUGCGUAGAUAUACGGAGGAACACCUGAGGCGAAGGCGGCUUUCUGGACCGAUACUGACACUGAGAUUCGAAAGCGUGGGUAGCAAACA
rnacentral:rRNA from 1 species